rnacentral:SRP_RNA from 1 species
GCUGAGUUGGGUAGCGCCAACUUGUGACCCAAGUGGGAGCAC